rnacentral:rRNA from 1 species
GGGCUCACGGCCUAUCAGCUUGUUGGUGGGGUGAUGGCCUACCAAGGCGUCGACGGGUAGCCGGCCUGAGAGGGUGACCGGCCACAUUGGGACUGAGAUACGGCCCAGACUCCUACGGGAGGCAGCAGUGGGGAAUAUUGCACAAUGGACGCAAGUCUGAUGCAGCGACGCCGCGUGGGGGAUGAAGGCUUUCGGGUUGUAAACUCCUUUCAGUACAGAACAAGGCCUUUGUGGUUGAGGGUAUGUGCAGAAGAAGCGCCGGCUAACUACGUGCCAGCAGCCGCGGUAAUACGUAGGGCGCGAGCGUUGUCCGGAAUUAUUGGGCGUAAAGAGCUCGUAGGCGGUUUGUUGCGCCUGCUGUGAAAGACCGGGGCUUAACUUCGGGGUUGCAGUGGGUACGGGCAGACUAGAGUGUGGUAGGGGUAAUUGGAAUUCCUGGUGUAGCGGUGGAAUGCGCAGAUAUCAGGAGGAACACCGAUGGCGAAGGCAGGUUACUGGGCCAUUACUGACGCUGAGGAGCGAAAGCGUGGGUAGCGAACAGGAUUAGAUACCCUGGUAGUCCACGCCGUAAACGUUGGGCACUAGGUGUGGGGCCUUUUCCAUGGGUUCUGCGCCGUAGCUAACGCAUUAAGUGCCCCGCCUGGGGAGUACGGCCGCAAGGCUAAAACUCAAAGGAAUUGACGGGGGCCCGCACAAGCGGCGGAGCAUGCGGAUUAAUUCGAUGCAACGCGAAGAACCUUACCAAGGCUUGACAUACACUGCGAUGUGCCAGAGAUGGUGCAGCCUUUGGGGUGGUGUACAGGUGGUGCAUGGUUGUCGUCAGCUCGUGUCGUGAGAUGUUGGGUUAAGUCCCGCAACGAGCGCAACCCUUGUCCUGUGUUGCCAGCAAGUUGUGUUGGGGACUCACGGGAGACUGCCGGGGUUAACUCGGAGGAAGGUGGGGAUGACGUCAAAUCAUCAUGCCCCUUAUGUCUUGGGCUUCACGCAUGCUACAAUGGCCGGUACAGAGGGUUGCGAGCCUGUGAGGGUGAGCUAAUCUCUUAAAGCUGGUCUCAGUUCGGAUUGGGGUCUGCAACUCGACCCCAUGAAGUCGGAG